rnacentral:rRNA from 1 species
AGGCAGCAGUGGGGGAAUAUUGCACAAUGGGCGCAAGCCUGAUGCAGCCAUGCCGCGUGUAUGAAGAAGGCCUUCGGGUUGUAAAGUACUUUCAGCAGUGAGGAAGGUGGAUAUGUUAAUAGCAUAUUCAUUUGACGUUUAGCUGCAGAAGAAGCACCGGCUAACUCCGUGCCAGCAGCCGCGGUAAUACGGAGGGUGCGAGCGUUAAUCGGAAUUACUGGGCGUAAAGCGCAUGCAGGUGGUUUGUUAAGUCAGAUGUGAAAGCCCGGGGCUCAACCUCGGAAUUGCAUUUGAAACUGGCAAACUAGAGUACUGUAGAGGGGGUAGAAUUUCAGGUGUAGCGGUGAAAUGCGUAGAGAUCUGAAGGAAUACCGGUGGCGAAGGCGGCCCCCUGGACAGAUACUGACACUCAGAUGCGAAAGCGUGGGGAGCAAACAGGAUUAGAUACCCUGGUAG